rnacentral:rRNA from 1 species
UGCAUGUCUAAGUAUAAGCAAUUACAAAGCGAAACUGCGAAUGGCUCAUUAUAUAAGUUAUCGUUUAUUUGAUAGUACCUUACUACAUGGAUAACCGUGGUAAUUCUAGAGCUAAUACAUGCUGAAAAUCCCGACUUCUGAAGGGAUGUAUUUAUUAGAUACAAAACCAAUGCCCUUCGGGGCUCUCUUGGUGAUUCAUGAUAACUUCUCGAAUCGCACGGCCCCGCGCCGGCGAUGGUUCAUUCAAAUUUCUUCCCUAUCAACUUUCGAUGCUACGGUAUUGUCCUAGCAUGGUUGCAACGGGUGACGGACGGUUAGGGCUCGACCCCGGAGAAGGAGCCUGAGAAACGGCU